GACGAACGCUGGCGGCGUGCCUAAUACAUGCAAGUAGAACGCUGAAGAGAGGAGCUUACUCUUCUUGGAUGAGUUGCGAACGGGUGAGUAACGCGUAGGUAACCUGCCUUGUAGCGGGGGAUAACUAUUGGAAACGAUAGCUAAUACCGCAUAACAAUGGAUGACACAUGUCAUUUAUUUGAAAGGGGCAAUUGCUCCACUACAAGAUGGACCUGCGUUGUAUUAGCUAGUAGGUGAGGUAAUGGCUCACCUAGGCGACGAUACAUAGCCGACCUGAGAGGGUGAUCGGCCACACUGGGACUGAGACACGGCCCAGAAUCCUACGGGAGGCAGCAGUAGGGAAUCUUCGGCAAUGGGGGCAACCCUGACCGAGCAACGCCGCGUGAGUGAAGAAGGUUUUCGGAUCGUAAAGCUCUGUUGUAAGUCAAGAACGGGUGUGAGAGUGGAAAGUUCACACUGUGACGGUAGCUUACCAGAAAGGGACGGCUAACUACGUG
rnacentral:rRNA from 1 species